GAUGCAGGCCCCUUGAGGUUACUGUCCCUGACAAAUACUGGUUCAUGUUCUUCAUCGAGAGAUUUUUGAAGCUUGUGGGCAAGACCGAAGAAGCAGAAGCAUCGUUCUUAAGUGCUGAGGACAGGUUAGUGCAGAUUUGCUGCUGGAAACAAUUCUCUUGCAAACACAAAAUUUCGAGACUGCUUAACUACCAGGAAAUGUGUUUGGGGGAGAAAAAUAUCCUCGUUGGAGAAAUUAUGGAAUUUUUAGCAGAUUUACUGAUUAUCCAUUAAGAGAGAGUGAAAGACUCCAAAGGAAGAAAGCAAUUGAACACUAUAAACAAGUGAUAAAAAUAAAGGGAAAUGCAAGCCCUCUGGCCAACUCUUCACACGUCAGGAAGCAGCUGAGCAUCAACCUAUCGUAAGUUAGGCAGAGCACCAUGCUCAACCACAUUUCUCUCGUCAGUGCCUUCCAUCUUUCUUCAAAUUCUGUUGAAGACACUUUGUAUAGGAAUAGGCUUUUCACGAAUAACCAUGACACGAAGUUACAUGUGACCUGAAGUAACAAAUGGCUCUUCACAUGCUCCCACCUUGGAUUUUACUUAUGAAAUGUAGGACUUAGUGCCUCAGACCCAGCCCAGAGAUCCGAAGGUACUUUCUGAUUAAAGAUAAAAACUUCAAAACUUAAAAAUGAAAUUAAA